UUUAUGGAGAGUUUGAUCCUGGCUCAGGACGAACGCUGGCGGCGUGCCUAAUACAUGCAAGUCGAGCGGAUCUUAUCCUUCGGGGUAAGGUUAGCGGCGGACGGGUGAGUAACACGUAGGUAACCUGCCUGUAAGACCGGGAUAACAUUCGGAAACGAAUGCUAAUACCGGAUAAUCAGCUUAUCCGCAUGGACGAGCUGGGAAAGACGGUGAGCGGAUUCUUCCGUAGUAGUUUUCUCGCGAAAACUCUUAGCUGUCACUUACAGAUGGACCUGCGGCGCAUUAGCUAGUUGGUGGGGUAAUGGCUCACCAAGGCGACGAUGCGUAGCCGACCUGAGAGGGUGAU
rnacentral:rRNA from 1 species